GGUCAGUGAUGAUGAGAAAAAAUACUGAUUGCACUAGCUGAUUGCACACCCGUUGGUUUCUCAGCUCCCAGCAGUGUGUUUCUUUUUCGCUUCCCUCAUUUUCCAGUAAUGUUAUGAGAUAUUAUGAAGCUGCUGAUAGUAUGUGGAUAAAGUUGGUACAUGUUGCCUAUAGUGUUGGGGGCUUUGCACCAGCUGUCAUCCAACAAUGCCAGUCCAGGAGCUGUCAAUUUCGGGUUGUCUUAAUGUGCAUGAUCAUAAGUUUUCAAGCUGAGACC